rnacentral:lncRNA from 1 species
GUCUUCCGGCCGACCCUCCUCCUGCUCCUGCUAUGUUGCUGACCCACGCUGCUGGCGCGAGUGGUCUUGCCCCUCGGGACCCGAGGAGGGAGGAGUUCUUCGUUCCCUUCAGCUUUCAGGCCCCAGGGAGAACCUUUCAGUCACAGGCAGCCUAGGUUCAAGAAGAAGAAAACCUGAGGCCUCGGCUCACCCUGACAGGGAAGUGGCGUGGGGACCGCUAAAGGACUGCGAGGUUCCACUGCCCAGGGCUGUCUAACCGCUUGCUUUAGACUGUGGGUGCACGGAGUCCGUCACUCAGCCUCCAGGACCAGGGCUCCUGAUGUGUGAGCGCGUUCCAUUCCCCCAUUCCCACAAGAACCCUCGCUCCCGCGAAGGCCUCCUGAGCUUGCGCGACUCCGCUGGGCCUUGGAGAGCUCUGGGGAGGGAGGCGCCUCUCCAGCACCCAGAUCCCCAGCCUGCAGCGCCUCGGGGCCAGUGUGGCCCGGAAUGGCAGGAUCUAGGGAAGACCCCGUCCUUGCCUCUCCACGGUUUCUGGUGGCUGCUGGCAAUCCUGGGCCUUUGCUGGCUUGUAGCUGCAUCACUCCAAUCUCUGCCUCCACCGUCA